rnacentral:lncRNA from 1 species
AAACGAAACGGCUGCUCUUCCUUCAUUUUAUUCCAAUUAGUAUGGACGUGGAGGUUACAGGACACACCAUGCUAGCUGUAGCGCCGGCAACAGGGAAACAAACCCAAGAAAGCAAUGCGGACAUUUUAUUCUACUUUUUUAUGCAGAAUAUAUGGAGGCACCAGCCAGCCCAGCAACAACGACAAUGGCGGCUACUUGGUAUACUCGAUGGCCCAGAAGUUGGCGUAGAUGUAGGUGGACUUGACGCUGGUAAACCCAGCGCCCUUGGCGAGCUCCACAAACUCCCUCUCGUACCUCUCCUUGCCGUCGGGGCUGUACGCGAGCAGGCACACGUCGACGCCGAUCAACCCCUGCGCGCUGUUUGUGGCAUCCGGGUUCACCGGCAGGAUGCACUCGACACUGAUGAGCUUGCCGUGCGGAGGCAGCGCCUCGUAGCAGUUCUUGAGCAGCUUGGCGCAGUGGUUGUCGCCCCAGCAAUUGAGGAUCCACUUCAUGAGGAUGGCGUCGCCGGAGGGCACCUUCUCAAACAUGUCGCCUCCCACGUGCUGCACCUGCACGUCGGGGUAGGCCGGCGCCUCGGAGAUGACGUGGGGAAGGUCGAAGUUGAUCCCUUGAAUGGUCGGGUACCUGGAGGUGAUGGCAUGGAUGGUGGAGCCGAGGCCGCCGCCAACGUCGACGAGGGUGCGGACGCCGUCGAAGCCCGUGUAGAGCUCCAAGAGCUUCUUGGUGAGGAUGACGGAAUGCUGCUUCAUGGCCUCAUUGAAGACCCCGUUGAAGCGUGCGUCAGUACCGGCGUAGUCGAACCAGGAAGGCGUCCCAAACGCCCUGUUGAAUGGGCUGCCACCCUCAAGGACCGCGUCCGUCAUGUAGCUCCAGGCGUGCAUGAAGAGCUUGUCGUUGGCGAGGAGGUGGAACGGAGCCAUGGAGACACCAUCCUCGUUGGGGGUGAGCCACUUGCACACUGGCGCGGCGCUGUACUGGCGGCACAGGCUGCCAUCCUCGGCCUCCUCCACCACGCAGGACACAACUUUGUAGGACGCCAGCAGUCGCAGCAAGCGAUCCACCAUGGACGGCGCGGCGGGGUUGGCCUUGGAAGGCAGCUUCGCGGCCACCUCCUUGGGAGUGAGAGCCUUCCCGCUGGCGCCCACAAGGGUCUCGAGCAGGCCCAGCUCAAUGGCAGUUCUUAGCGUCAUCGGCAGGAUGGCCGACGACACUAGCUGCAGAGCGUGCAUGCAUGUCUCCUCGUCGGCUAUGGCCAUGUCCGCGGCGGAACCCAUCUACCUCCCGGGAUUUGAGCUCAACUAACUGAUGAAGGUGUGUGUACCUUGUUGUUGUGAUUGCUGGUGGCUGAAUGAUCGAUGAGGCGAAAGGGGCCGUUUAUAUAGAGCUUCGAGCUAGGCUUUGUUCACCAACCUGAAAAUCAUGCAUUCUUUGACAAGUAUGGGAUUGCUUGUAUGGUGUGACCAACCUGUGAGAGCGUGGUAGUGAUUGUGUACCCCAUGCAAAACCUCCCUCCUAAUAAGAUCCCUAAUAAGAUCGUGAUGCACGAGGCUGAAUACUAUAUUGUUUUGUCUGCAGUCUAAUCGAUUUGGAAUCCGCAAAUAUAAUCAAUUCACGACACUGGAGAUGGUCGGCGCACGAGGAGUGGCAGUCCUAUUGAAACUUUCAGAGAAGCACCUUGUGCCCUUUGAGAAUCUGUUUUGCAUUAGAUCAAGGUUGAGAUGGUUUCUUCAACCCUUGAGAUUCAGCGCGAGGGUCCACGUGCGUGAUGGACAUGGCUUCCCUACUGCACAACUAUUUUUCAAGAAUCAAGAUAUUCUGCAUGGGAUGUCCUGCGUCUCUGGUGUCGGUGCAAUCUUUCUCCUGUUGAACACAUACACUAGCGUCUGAUGCCAGAGUGAGGUGGAUCGGGUGGAUAAAGGCUACGGCGUAGCACAUUAUCAUGGCUCGGGCGGCCGGAGCAAGAACACGAGCUGGCCGACUGUAGAGGGAAGACGCAAGCGGCACUCGCAGAAUCUACGUGGCUCCCCUUGGUCGUUCUUUGUCUCACCCUAUGGGUAUCAUGGAGGCACGGCGCCAGGCUGGCGGCACGGUGUAGCCUCAAUUCAGAACUUUCCUAGCUAGGGCGUGGCCGAGGGCGAUUGGUUGCUCAACCUGAUGAGAACUUGGGUGGGUGCUCCUACAUGGGAGAGAAUAGGGUGACGGAUGAGAAUGCAGAUGAGGGACGGGGCUCAGACGACGGGUGGGUUGGAGACAUGUUUUCACUGUUGAACUCUUAGCGUCAAGAUGAGAGGUGAGAUGAGAUACCGGUAGGACCUGCUCUUACCAUGGCACUUCAGCAACCCCACCCCAACCCCGCGCGCAAGUCAAAAUUUGAGGACCAUAUGUACCAUACGUGUGCAAACAGAACCAUAAUUUUACUAGUAUUGAGGGAUUUUAGUUAUUUCUUCUAAAAAAUCUCUUGGGAAAUCGUAUUUUUGUAGUACAACAUAUAUAGAAAAUAAGUAUUACUACUCACAAAUAAACUGCCCUUUUCUUUAGUAUUCUUGGUUUUUGUUAUUAUUUUAUUUAAUCUUAAGAUUUAUAUAUGCAUAAAAAAGUAAUUUAGUAUCUUCAAAUAUGGAAACGUGGUCUUAGGAAUAGGGCUCAUAUUUUAUUCUUGAGCAUGCCUAGUGGAAAAAUAAUAUCUAAAAAACUGCAAAGAAAUUUAAUACCUAAGCCUUCGAUCCACUCUACUUUUUGUAUACUAGUUUACCUGCAAUCCCCUGGCUUGCACAUUAUAUUUCAUCAUACGGAAAUGUCUGAGAUUGUGAACGGAAGCAAUUUCAUCUGUCUGCAACCCUGCAUAGCAUGUGUCUGAGAUUGUGACACCCAGAGCUCCUGACACAACCGCGUGAGCACCUUCUCCGACAUGCGCACAUGAUGACCGCAUGCACCCAUAUUAAUUAUUACGACAUGCGCACGUUACAAACGAUUGUAGAAAAAAUGCGAGUCACCAGGAAGGUAGGUAGUAGAGCAUGCCGUCAGUGUCUUUCCUGUGACCUGUGUUCGUGGUGCACAUGGCAGAAUGCACAGUCUAUACAUAGGAACCAGAAGUUGGCUUCCAAACCAAAUCACUCAUUAGUCCUUCAGUACUGCAGUGAACGCUAUCUAGCUAGCUAAUUUCCCCUUGAAAUCAGUUUGCUUGCGUGGCCAUGGGUAGCCUUCCACUUGAAGCCAUGAUGCCACUGAACCCCGAUUCAUUCGCUGGGGAGUCCAGUGCCGUGGUCGACUUCCUCGCCGACUACUACCGCAACGUCAAUAAGUAUCCGGUCAUGGCCAACACCCAGCCAGGGACCAUCCGUAAGCUUCUUCCGGAGGCAGCCCCGGAGUUGGGCGACUCCAUGGAUCGCAUACUGGAUGAUGUGCAGCGGGAUAUCCUCCCCGGCCUCACACAUUGGCAGAGCCCUAGCUUCUUUGCCUAUUUCCCGGCGAAUGCAAGCACCGCAGGGUUCGCCGGGGAGAUGUUGUCGGCUGGUCUCAACGUCAUCCCGUUCGUCUGGACGGCGUCACCGGUGGCCACUGAGCUGGAGCAGGUCGUGGUUGACUGGAUGGCUAGCCUCCUCGGCCUACCGGAGCGCUUCCACUUCAAGGGAGGAGGAGGCGGUGUCCUACAUGGGAGCACGUGCGAGGCGGUGGUGUGCACUCUCGCUGCCGCGCGCGACCGUGCACUCAGCAAGCUAGGACAUGAGGGCAUCCUCAAGCUUGUUGAUGCAUGGAAAUGCAUAGAAUACUUAUUGGAGCGAAGGCUCUUUGAGGUCCAUGGGCUAUUUAUGCCCCCUCCACUCGCCCAUUCAGAGUUGCUGGAGUGUCCAUACAUCUAUUGAAGACCAAGGCUCAUCAAGUGACGAAUGGAGAAACCACACAUCCACCUUGAUAAUUUUAGAGCAUCCAGGUGACGAUAUUCAAUGCGCUCAAAUGGUGGUAUUCAACUUAGAAAAAAUAGUAGCACCAGAAGAUCUGAGAGUCAUCGGAGCAACCAUCGAAGCAAUUGGUACAACUGAGAAGUAAGCUUGAGUUGCAGCAAGCACCAGAUGAUCCGACGGGGUCCUUUUCACAAGCGUCGGAGCAAUUUGUAAAGAAGACGGAGAAAGACCUAUAGCACCAGAUAUUCCGAUGGCUAGAAGAUGAAGGAAUCAGACCAAGCAUAUUUACUUUGAAAACGUCAAGAGAGUUUUUAGGAAAAACUCCUUCAGCACCGGAUGAUCCGACGUUACGUCGGAUGAAUUUAGGUAGAGGUCCAACGGCUAUAUACGUCAGCAGGGGGCGUGUCACACCCGAUUUUAAGGACAAAACCGAGUGCUUUCAAUACAUGUGCGCCAGGAACAAGUUACACACAUGUACGACAUAAGUGAAUAACAAAGUCAGUGCCAAAGCGAAUAAAGAGAGUAUUAAAUUUUAUUACAUGAUCGAAAGUCUUAACAAAACACAAGCCUAACUUAUUACGCAGCGGAUUCCAAAGACGACGAUGACACCACAUGCUGCUGACUGAAGAACCGUAUGCCUAGAACUCCUCAAACUCGUGCAGGUACUCCUCCAGAUUAUCUUGGUCUGAAUAGCAGUUUUGCAAGGGUGAGUACACUUAUGGUUGGUACUCAACAAGUCGUGGGGAAUAGUGUAGUGCAAGGCCAACCAAGGAAUGGCUAAGGCUAAAUAGCAUCAGCUUUUAAUUAGCUUGGUCAAAUUUUAUUAGCAAUUAACUAAGUAUAAGUUUAUACCACCCCAAAUUAAACAUGAACAUAAAUAAAGUAAACAACAUAUGCGCAGUAUGACAACAAUUUAAGUCCAUCUUUCGUUAGUAUUAUCAUGUGAGGGUCCAGGCCGCUCUUAACCGUGAGCAUGGCUGAUCAAUCAGUUUUACACUCUAUAGAGGUCGCACAUCUUUACCCACAACUCGCGUAAAAGUUGAAAAGAACUUUGGACCCAACCAUGUGGUGUUUGCAAGGCACCAUACCACACUUCCGAGGUGUGAUUGCAUAGGGACGCUACGAGGCCUUUACAAAGAUUCAUUAGUCAGUGGUAACCCGCUAAGGUUUCGGUGUCUAGCGUGCACAACCUAUCACAGGACAAUGAUACAACGACUCAGUCCCCCCUCUUGCCUUAUCACGAGUAAGGUUUCUAAUUAUUUAGCCAAGACCAGAGCCAAUUAGUCCUGUGGUAGCACUGUUUUCCUGGGUGGCUCUCCAUGUUCCGAUUAAACGUUUGUGAUCUUGUAUUAAUGAAAGGUAUAACAGAAGUAAAGCAAGAUUAAUCAUUGAGUUCAGUUAAACCAACUUGUCCCAAGUAGAAACUAAGGAUGAUCUACCAAACAUAAAAGUACACCCAGUUAGUCAAGGCAUAGGUAAAUUCAAUCUAGGCAAACCUUAAUUGGGACCCAUCAAUUUAAUCUUAACAAGGGCAUAGCAUAAUUGUUGAGUACGAGAAAGUAAAAGUGUAUAGGACUGAGAAGUAGGGAUCAAGGACACAACUUGCCUUCUUGGCCUUGCUCUUGCUGUUCGUACUGCUCGAAGGCUUGAUCUUCAAAUCCCCCAAAUUGCUGAACGUCUAUACGCUCACACGAGCACAUACAAGCAAACAAGGGCACAAAGUAAGAAAACAGUACACCAAUCACAACUAAACAGAGAAAACAAGCCUGAAAAAUUAAUCUACACUUUAAAACAAACAUGUGGAUAUAAAGAACGCGAAAAACGGAGUUAAGAUGCAAAAGAUAUGAUUAAAACAAGAUCCAGGGGCUUUUCUGCGAGAAAAACAAAACUUCUAGGGUCGAACUUCGAAAAACCGAGGGCUUGUACAUGAUUAUUAUUAUAAACCGAAGGUUUAACACGCAAAAAUGCAACUUAGGAUGGCGGGUUGAAUUAGAGAAACUCAGGGUCGAAACCGAAAGAAAGCAGGACCAAAACACAAUUAUUUUUGAACUAGAUUGGACUGCAGGUUGAUUUGCGGAAAAGGCGAGCGCUUCAGUGCAAAAGAGGCGCGGCGCGACACGAUUGAGUACGCGAUCCGGUUGACUCGCUGUGGGCCGUCAGAUUUGGAUCCGACGGUCUCGGUCGUCGAUGACACCCAAGCAGCGACGGACCAGGCGGCGGGCGGCGACGAGCGGCGGCGGUUUUUCUGGAAUUAGCCGAUACGGCGCUCCGGGGCUCGAUUUCGCGCGCGGAAAACACUGGAAGCAUGAGAAAAGCAAGGCGAUCCAUUUUCGGCGGUUCACGGUGAUCGAGGCUCACUGGAAGGCGGUGCUUGGCGGCGGAGAGAGGGUGGCGGCACUUGCUGGGGUUUCGGGGGCGCUGUUGCGGGGUGCUCGAGGUGGGGCGGGCGGCGGCUUAUAUAGGGGCGGAGUCAGGGCGCGGUCGGAGUGGAGUCCCGGCCGGAGCACGGGGAUGACGGGUAGGUCCCACUCGUCAGACCUGCGGAAGGAGGCCGGUGCCGCUGGGUAGGCCGACGGAGUGGGCCGAGCGAGCGACAUGGGCUGGCGAAGGGAAAAAGGGAAAGCGGCAGCUUCGCGGGCUGGAGGAACAGGCAGAGCGGGCCGGGGGAGGUAGCGGCGCUGUGCUGCAGGGAAAUAGGAUCCAGGCUGAAAGAGAAAGGAGGAGGAGAAGGAUGCAGCCCAGGAGGAGGAAGAGAAAAGAGGAAAAGAAAGAUUUUUGAAAUUGAAAUUGAAAUUGAGAUUCAAUUUUGAUUCAAACACAAGCAAUCAAAAUAAAUGCACCAGCAUGCAAUGCACAAAGAACUCCUAUGAUGGUUUAAUUUAAUUUAGAGAAAAUAAAAUUAAAUGCCUAGAAAUUUAAAUGACAUCCUAAUUGAGCAAAUUUUAGUGUAUUUAAAUUCUUUAAAAAAUUUGGGUGUUACAGGGCACCAGAUGAUCCGAUGCCUAUCUCCAGUGACCAUCGGAUCAUCCAAUGCUCACAUAUUUUACUAGCCGCUGUAGCGAAGGCUCUUUGAGAUCCAUGGGCUAUUUAUGCCCUCUCCACUCGCUCAUUUAGAGGUGCUGGAUUGUCCAUACAUCGAUUGAAGACCAAGGCCCAUCAAGAACACAUCCAUGCCACCAAAAGUGCAAAAGCGAUAAUCCAAGGCUUAGCACGAGCUAAGAGAUUGAUUAGCUCUAGGAUAGGCCUAGAGAGAGUAGUGCAAGGUGUUGCUACCUUGUGAUUGGUUCAAGGAGUGAUCCACUAUUGUAAGCUUGGGGCGCCGGCGCCUUGGGGUCUUGGUGGCUCUCCGGCAAGUCUUCGACACCUCAGCUCGGUGUGGAGCAGCGUCGACAGCCGGAUGCGGGGGACAAGAAGACUCCUUCCUUCGUGGAGCAGCUCCAUGGUGGAGACGACGUCAAGGUGACCGAAGGGGGUAGUAGUGAGCCUUGCGUUUGUGGAUAGCUUGUCAUCCGGCUUGGCUAGAGCCUUUGUAGCGAGCCUAAGACCUUGACCGGGAGAGGCUUGGUGAGCAGGAGCAUGUCCUUGGUGGAGCUCCAACGCAUGGACUAGGGGUGGCAUUUGGCUACCGAUACCAUGUGAUAAAUCAUCGUGCUGGGUUUGCAUCUUUCCUAACCCACUCCUUUACAUUUCCGCACUACAUUCUCGCAACUUGAGUGCCUUUAAUUACUUUCCAGAGUAGUACCUUGUUAGGAUUGGCUCUAGGUUGCAAAACUCUUUGUGGGUGGGAAGUUUCACUAGAUCAACCAUAGAUGCACAUGUAGAUAGCAUGAUCUAGUUUAGGUUUGGAAGCAAGUAGUGGAAGUCAUAGGCCAAGGAUUUUAAGCUAGCCUAAUUCACCCCUCCCCUUCCUAGGGUACGAGCAUCGAUUCCUUUCAAUUUGCUUUAGCACCAUGAAGGCAAUAGUCAUCCAUCUGCACCAUGAUCAUAGAGCAAUGCAAAACCACGAGAGAAACGAAACGGCUGCUCUUCCUUCAUUUUAUUCCAAUUAGUAUGGACGUGGAGGUUACAGGACACACCAUGCUAGCUGUAGCGCCGGCAACAGGGAAACAAACCCAAGAAAGCAAUGCGGACAUUUUAUUCUACUUUUUUAUGCAGAAUAUAUGGAGGCACCAGCCAGCCCAGCAACAACGACAAUGGCGGCUACUUGGUAUACUCGAUGGCCCAGAAGUUGGCGUAGAUGUAGGUGGACUUGACGCUGGUAAACCCAGCGCCCUUGGCGAGCUCCACAAACUCCCUCUCGU